ACGAACGCUGGCGGCGUGCUUAACACAUGCAAGUCGAACGAUGAUGCCAGCUUGCUGGUGGCUUAGUGGCGAACGGGUGAGUAACACGUGAGCAACCUGCCCCUGACUUCGGGAUAACCGCGGGAAACCGUGGCUAAUACCGGAUAUGACGCGCUAUCGCAUGGUGGUGUGUGGAAAGAUUUAUCGGUUGGGGAUGGGCUCGCGGCCUAUCAGCUUGUUGGUGGGGUGAUGGCCUACCAAGGCGACGACGGGUAGCCGGCCUGAGAGGGUGACCGGCCACACUGGGACUGAGACACGGCCCAGACUCCUACGGGAGGCAGCAGUGGGGAAUAUUGCACAAUGGGCGCAAGCCUGAUGCAGCGACGCCGCGUGAGGGAUGACGGCCUUCGGGUUGUAAACCUCUUUCAGUAGGGAAGAAGGCCUUCGGGUUGACGGUACCUGCAGAAGAAGCGCCGGCUAACUACGUG
rnacentral:rRNA from 1 species